GGAUGUAAGGGCAAUCUGGCUGUGACAUCUGUCACCCUACUGAUUGCCAAGGUUGAUUUGACUGAUCUGGCUGGCUAGGUGGGUGUCCCUUCCUCCCUCACCAUUUCAUAUGCGUCCUUCCUGAAGCUUCGUGCUUGGUCGAAGAGGAUGGCCUUCCCCGAAUAGAGGUCUUUGGUAGAGGGUAUACGAGUAGCUGCGCUCCCCUGCUAGAACCCUCCAAACAUAAAUAGGUUAUAAUAAAUAAAUACCAAAGUUUUAAAUAUAAUUAUAUAAGUAAAGCCAACUUAUUUUUGUUUUGGUUU
rnacentral:snRNA from 1 species